UACAGAGGGGGCAAGCGUUGUUCGGAAUUACUGGGCGUAAAGGGCGCGUAGGCGGCCUUCUAAGUCGAACGUGAAAUCCCCGGGCUCAACCCGGGAACUGCGUCCGAUACUGGAAGGCUUGAAUCCGGGAGAGGGAUGUGGAAUUCCAGGUGUAGCGGUGAAAUGCGCAGAUAUCUGGAGGAACACCGGUGGCGAAGGCGACAUCCUGGACCGGUAUUGACGCUGAGGCGCGAAAGCCAGGGGAGCAAACGGG
rnacentral:rRNA from 1 species